AUCUACUGUACUUUGUCUUUUUCUAAACAUCGUUAAAAAUCAUAGAUGGGCAGAGGAAGGACAACCACUAGCACUGUAAUAACUUGUCUUUUGAAACUUUGAAUUGAUCAUGGUAGGCCUAUUAAAAUCUUGCUUGAUACUAUGACCCAUGAAGAGGUGGAUGGUGGAACCUCCAGUGGUGAAGAGACUGGAGAAAUUCUGAUUCAUAGUGCUGACCAGCUAGAAAAUUAUGCGAAAAACUGAAGAAGCUAAAGUUGAGGAGCUUAUAAAGGCAGUUGCUGAUUCCGGUGCCAAAGUAAUUGUUAGUGGAGCAGCAGUUGGGGAGAUGGCACUUCAUUUCUGCUUAUGGUUUUGAAAAUUAGUUCAAAAUUUGAAUUAAGACGAUUUUGCCGCACUACUGUUGCUGUUGCUAUG